CCUAGGGGAGGCAGCAGUAGGGAAUAUUGGGCAAUGGGCGCAAGCCUGACCCAGCGACGCCGCGUGAGGGAUGACGGUCUUCGGAUUGUAAACCUCUUUCAGUAGGGAAGAAGCGAAAGUGACGGUACCUAAAGAAGAAGCACCGGCUAACUAUGUGCCAGCAGCCGCGGUAAU
rnacentral:rRNA from 1 species